rnacentral:rRNA from 1 species
GCCGCGGUAAUACGUAGGGUGCAAGCGUUGUCCGGAAUUACUGGGCGUAAAGAGUUCGUAGGCGGUUUGUCGCGUCGUUUGUGAAAACCAGCAGCUCAACUGCUGGCUUGCAGGCGAUACGGGCAGACUUGAGUACUGCAGGGGAGACUGGAAUUCCUGGUGUAGCGGUGAAAUGCGCAGAUAUCAGGAGGAACACCGGUGGCGAAGGCGGGUCUCUGGGCAGUAACUGACGCUGAGGAACGAAAGCGUGGGUAGCGAACAGGAUUA